AACGCACCUUGCGCUCCUUGGUAUUCCGAGGAGCAUGCCUGUUUGAGUGUCGUGAAAUUCUCAACCCCACCCCGCUUUGUUGUGGGGCUCGGGCUUGGACUUGGGGGUUUGCUGGUCAACUCUGUUCGAUCGGCUCCCCUUGAAGGCAUUAGCCCAGGACCUUAUGCUUCCCGGUCGGUUUUCACGGUGUGAUAGUUUAUCAACACCUGUGUCUCCGAUGUCUUUGGUGUGGCAUGACCGUGGUUCGGCUCUCCAACGGACGUGUCCCACGUCAAUUCACAAAUCUGACCUCAAAUCAGGUAGGACUACCCGCUGAACUUAA
rnacentral:misc_RNA from 1 species